rnacentral:rRNA from 1 species
GGGAGUACGUCGGCAACGAUGAAACUCAAAGGAAUUGACGGGGGCCCGCACAAGCGGAGGAACAUGUGGUUUAAUUCGAUGAUACGCGAGGAACCUUACCUGGGCUUAAAUGCUGGCUGCAUUCACGCGAAAGCGUGAUUUCCUACGGGACCGCCAGCAAGGUGCUGCAUGGUUGUCGUCAGCUCGUGCCGUGAGGUGUCGGGUUAAGUCCCAUAACGAGCGCAACCCCUAUCGUUAGUUGCCAGCAUGUAAUGGUGGGGACUCUAACGAGACUGCCGGUGUAAACCGGAGGAAGGUGGGGAUGACGUCAAAUCAGCACGGCCCUUACGUCCAGGGCUACACACGUGUUACAAUGGCCGGUACAAAGAGCAGCCACCUGGCGACAGGGUGCUAAUCUCUAAAACCGGUCUCAGUUCGGAUCGAAGUCUGCAAUUCGACUUCGUGAAGAUGGAUUCGCUAGUAAUCGCGCAUCAGCCAUGGCGCGGUGAAUAAGUUCCCGGGCCUUGUACACACCGCCCGUCAAGCCAUGGAAGCCGGGGGUACCUGAAGUCCGUAACCAAUCUCGCCUCGGUGAGGAAGGAGCGGCCUAAGGUAAAACCGGUGACUGGGGCUAAGUCGUAACAAGGUAACC